rnacentral:rRNA from 1 species
UACGAAGGGGGCUAGCGUUGUUCGGAAUCACUGGGCGUAAAGCGCACGCAGGCGGAUCGUUAAGUCAGGGGUGAAAUGCCGAGGCUCAACCUCGGAACUGCCUUUGAUACUGGCGAUCUUAGAGUCCGGGAGAGGUGAGUGGAACUCCGAGUGUAGAGGUGAAAUUCGUAGAUAUUCGGAAGAACACCAGUGGCGAAGGCGGCUCACUGGCCCGGUACUGACGCUCAGGUGCGAAAGCGUGGGGAGCAAAC